CGUGAGUAACCUGCCUUACACAAGGGGAUAGCCUCUGGAAACGGAGAAUAAUACCCUAUGAUAUUACUGGAUUGCAUAAUCAAGUAAUCAAAGUGUUUUAGCGGUGUAAGAUGGACUUGCGUCUGAUUAGCUAGUUGGUGAGAUAACAGCUCACCAAGGCAACGAUCAGUAGCCGGCUUGAGAGAGUGUACGGCCACAUUGGGACUGAGACACGGCCCAG
rnacentral:rRNA from 1 species